rnacentral:miRNA from 1 species
AUAAAUGUGUCCACCCUCUCACAUGAGGGUGGACCCACAUGAAUAAAAUAUUCGAGUGGGCCUCUCAUGUGAGAGGGUAGACACCUUUAU